rnacentral:rRNA from 1 species
UACGGGGGGGCAAGCGUUGUUCGGAAUUACUGGGCGUAAAGGGCUCGUAGGUGGCCAACUAAGUCAGACGUGAAAUCCCUCAGCUUAACUGGGGAACUGCGUCUGAUACUGGAUGGCUUGAGUCCGGGAGAGGUGAGUGGAAUUCCCAGUGUAGCGGUGAAAUGCGUAGAUAUUGGGAGGAACACCAGUGGCGAAGGCGGCUCACUGGACCGGAACUGACGCUGAGGCGCGAAAGCGUGGGGAGCAAACGGG